GCUACAAAACAAUUAACCAACCAACCAACCACAAAGAAAAAUACUAGGACAAAAGUAAGCUGCCCACAAAACCAACCAAAAGGAAAGAGGAAAAGUCUGGAUUGGUGCCUCCACAAAACAAAUGUAUCAAAAAACCAAGCCGCUUGAUACAACAAAGCCAAGCACCAUAGCCAGGAUUUUGAGUUGAAUUUAAAUGGAAUAAAAUGAAAAUAGUUAUAAAUGCUAAAAAAUGGUAAAAGUUGAUCACUUAUAAAGGAUUUAGGAUUUAAAUUGAUAUAGUUUAUAUCCUUUUAUCUCCUCUCUUCAAUGGACUGAAAGGUAAAGUCAAGAGGCUCAAAUUCCCUCAUCCCACAUUUGUUGAACUAAAAAAAACUUUAUACAUAUUCUUGAGACAUUUUGUCUUUUCAUUAAUGCCUCCCAACCCCUCUCUAACACGCACGAAAAGGAAAGAGAGAUAUAGAAGAAAAGGAAAGGAAAAUAUUCUGUUCACGCUGGCCCAACCUCAAUCAGACCUAAGCGAACUAUGGAGCACAAUGAUAUGGAAUAUAAUGCAUGUGGUUGAAAUUAUAAAUCCUUUGUUAGCAUGAAGAUGCUUUUUGGAAUUUAUCUGAUACAUCUGUGAAUUAAAAGACAUUGACAUCUUUUCCUAGUUAUUGCUUGCAGGAAAAAUAGUAUUUACUGCUCCUUCUCGACCACUGGUCUUGCAACAGAUAGAAGCAUGCCAUAAUAUUGUGGGAAUACCACAAGAAUGGACCAUUGACAUGACAGGUCUGAUAAAUCCUACAAAAAGAGCAUGUUUUUGGAAAAGUAAAAGAGUUUUCUUUGUUACACCACAAGUGCUGGAGAAGGAUAUUCAAUCUGGUGAUUCUUGUAAUCCUUAGCCCUCUUGUAUUGUGAGUGGUGACUGGUCGGACUUGCGAAUUGCAACUUUGCAUCAUUACUCUUACUCUCACUGUGAGGGGAAACUUAUGUAGGACACUGUUUCAUGCCUGGUUUUAUUUGUUUAUCCUUAGUCAAAGACGUAACAGAAUGUACUAUUGAGAUGUUCCAGGCUAAAAUAUUGUAGUUUAUACUCUGAUUUUUGAAUGAAAAACGAAACUUAUGCUGA